UCUAGACCGGCUUCUGAUCUGGCUCGGGAUCCACAAGGACUAGACCUGCGGGGAAGGUCUCUCCUGGACACGCCCGUUGCCCACUGCAAGUUCUCUCCAGGUGCAAUUGAAGCCUCUCAGCAGCGGAGGCCGCCAUGUGGAGAGAGCAGGCAGGCCCACUGCUGCUGAGAACAGGGCAGGCACGGGCAGCUCCUGUUCUGCCUUUCCCAGCUUCGGAGACGCAGGCUCAGCUGCUCCGAAGCACCUGCCAGCACCGCACAGUACAGUUUCAGAGGACAGCAGUCUCCUUCCCGUGAAGCUCCCAUGUGCUGGAAUGGCAUGGACUUGCUGAUCAACAGAAGGAAAUGGUCUGAAGUCUGACCAGCACAAGGAAGGAGGCUGGCUGGCUCAGAGGGGCCCACCUUGCGUGGAAUGAAAACGCCAAAGGCUCAUGAGCAACAUUAGGCUAGAGGGGUCUUGUUCAAAGCAUCCAACUCUGACUUCGGAGGCAUUCCCAGCCGGCAGCAGUGUGUCCAGCCUGCCUCUUCCCAGGCUGGUCUGACAUGCAGCUUAGGCUUUCAUCCCAAGUUAGGUACUGACCCCUCCCUCUUGGGCAGCACCUCCCUUUUUAAAAAAAUUUUUUUUUCUUCCAAAGACAGAGUCUUGCUCUUGUUGUCCAGGCUGGAGUGCAGUGGCGCGAUCUAGGCUCACUGCAACCUCCUUCUCCCAGGUUCAAGCGACUCUCCUGCCUCAGCCUCCUGAGUAGCUGGGAUUAUAGGCGUCUGCCACCACGCCCGGCUAAUUUCUGUAUUUUUAGUAGAGACAGGGUUUCACCAUGUUGGCCAGGCUGGUCUCGAACUCCUGACCUCAAGUGAUCUGCCUGCCUUGGCCUCCCAAAGUGCUGGGAUUACAGGUGUCAGCCACCGCACCCAGCCAAGCACCCCUAUCUCUAGAGGAUCUGGCCCCCCAGCCCAGUUACUGCAGGGCAGCUUUCCCCACCUGGUGACAGGCUGUGCGCAGCAGCCCCAGGACCUCACCCUGAGCUGAGUCUUCAGGAGCCGCCCUGGUGGCACAACUCAGACACCCCUGAGGCCUAGCAGUCAACUCCUGAUUCAGACAUGAUCCAGUCCAGCCUGGGCUUGGCUAUAACCAGCUCAAACUUGCUUGACCUCCACUUUUCAGGAGACUUGGGGACGACAGCCCUCAUCGGCGUCUUUCAUGGGGUUAAUCUGCUUGAGUCUAAGUCGCCAGCCAGAAACGUGGUGCCCAGGGUGCCCUGCCUCAGGACAUGUCCACACCCACGUCACAAGCACCUGAGGAGUCCGGCCGGGGCACUGUGGUCCAAAAGGUCCUGCCGCCUCCGCAUCUGACUGUCCCAACGGCAUGCUGGUGACACCCCCCUGCCCUUCGCUUCUGUCCUCCCUGGCUUCUCUGGGGCACUUGGGGCUAUGUACAACCUGGCACGAUCCAGAAAGGGUGCAAACAAAAUGCCUACAUCCAGGCACACGACCAAGUCAGCGAGAGCUAGCCCUGGUAAGCA
rnacentral:lncRNA from 10 species